CGUGUAGGCGGUCAGGUAAGUGGGGUGUGAAAGCCCCCGGCUCACCCGGGGAUCUGCAUUCCAAACUGCCUGGCUUGAGUACGGGAGAGGAUGAGGGAAUUCCUGGUGUAGCGGUGAAAUGCGUAGAUAUCAGGAGGAACACCGGUGGCGAAGGCGCUCAUCUGGCCCGAUACUGACGCUGAGGCGCGAAAGCUAGGGGAGCAAACGGGAUUAGAUACCCCGGUAGUCCUAGCCGUAAACGGUGAGCACUAGGUGUUGGAGGCAUCGACCCCUCCAGUGCCGCAGCUAACGCAUUAAGUGCUCCGCCUGGGGAGUACGGCCGCAAGGUUGAA
rnacentral:rRNA from 1 species